AUUGAACGCUGGCGGCAUGCUUUACACAUGCAAGUCGAACGGUAACAGGCCGCAAGGUGCUGACGAGUGGCGAACGGGUGAGUAAUGCAUCGGAACGUGCCCAGUCGUGGGGGAUAACGCAGCGAAAGCUGCGCUAAUACCGCAUACGAUCUGUGGAUGAAAGCGGGGGACCGUAAGGCCUCGCGCGAUUGGAGCGGCCGAUGUCAGAUUAGGUAGUUGGUGAGGUAAAGGCUCACCAAGCCGACGAUCUGUAGCUGGUCUGAGAGGACGACCAGCCACACUGGGACUGAGACACGGCCCAGACUCCUACGGGAGGCAGCAGUGGGGAAUUUUGGACAAUGGGGGCAACCCUGAUCCAGCAAUGCCGCGUGCAGGAAGAAGGCCUUCGGGUUGUAAACUGCUUUUGUACGGAACGAAACGGCUCUGGUUAAUACCCGGAGCUAAUGACGGUACCGUAAGAAUAAGCACCGGCUAACUACGUGCCAGCCGCCGCAGUAACAC
rnacentral:rRNA from 1 species